UCACGCGGUCAGGCUUUGAGCUAGUCGCGGUAGGCGUGGCUAACGGAUUCAGAUCAGACGAUCUUUUCUGCAGCCAACGUCAACACAAACCAACGAACACGGACUCUAUUUCUGCUGUUAUUUAAUAAACAUACGUUGCAUUUUGCAGCGCGUCUCCUAAACUGAAGGGAUUCCAGUGAGGGAAGGAGACAUGUCCCAGGACAAGCCAGCCUACCCUAUAAUGGGGGAGAACAAUCCUCUUCACAACAGCGUCUAUGGGCCUCCCAAAACCGAUGCCUUUGGAAUGCCUCCGCCCAACUAUAGCCAGGGUCCAGGAGCUCCUCCGUAUGCGACACCAGUACCCUAUAGCCAACCCGGUUACGGCCAACCUCCAGCACCAGGGUUCGGCCCUGGUCCGUACCCACAGAUGCCAUAUCCACAGAUGCCGUACCCACAGGGGCCCUGCGCUCAGGGGCCAUACCCUCAGAGUCCAUACCAGCAGGGGCCUGGCCAGCCUGCCUUUGGUGUAGAUCCUAAUGCUUCUAUGGACAGCCCUGGAUAUCACGGUGGAGAUGGACCCCCUUCUUACUAUGGCAAUGAUGAGUUUGCGAACUCUGGCUGGGAAGAUAAGAGCAUCCGACAGGCCUUCAUUAGAAAGGUGUUCAUGGUCUUGACCGUGCAGCUGAUGGUCACCUUCUCUUUUGUUGCCGUUUUCACCUUUGCAAAUGACGUCAAAGUGUUUGUACGGAGAAAUCAGUGGACGUACUACGUGUCCUAUGCUGUCUUCUUCGUUUCACUGAUUGUUCUCAGCUGCUGUGGAGAGUUUCGCCGCAAACACCCAUGGAACCUGGUGGCACUGUCCAUCCUGACCCUGAGUCUGUCCUAUAUGGUUGGAAUGGUCGCCAGCUACUAUGAUACAGAUGCAGUUAUCAUGGCAGUGGGCAUCACUGCGGUGGUCUGCUUCACGGUUGUGAUUUUCUCACUGCAGAGCAAAUAUGACUUCACUUCCUGCUAUGGCGUUCUUUUUGUCUGUCUGAUUGUCCUUCUUCUGGCCUCUUUCCUCUGCAUCUUCAUCCAAAACAAAAUUCUCCACAUCGUCUAUGCCUCGCUUGGGGCCCUGCUGUUCACUUGUUUCCUGGCUGUGGACACCCAGCUUCUCCUGGGCAACAAGAAGUUGGCCAUUAGCCCAGAGGAGUAUGUCUAUGCAGCUCUUAACCUCUACACCGACAUCAUCAACAUCUUCCUUUACAUCCUGGCCAUUGUGGGUCGCACCAGGGAUUGAGGGUGCCCCCUUCCUGUUAGAAGAGGAAAGUGCAGACCACAUUUCACAGAAUGAUGCACCACCUCACAUUCCUUCACCUUUCCUCAAAUUCUGAAAUGAUUUGUCUUUCAAAUUCCCUUUAUGUCAACAUGUACAGGCUGAUCAGGCAAAAGCUCUUUGUCCUUUUCAGGACAAAACAAAACAUUAUUCAAGAACCCGUUUGAAUGCAGUUCCUUUACAUUGCCCGAUCUGUCCUUCUUGUUUAAUUUGCUUGUGUGGUUCUGGAGAUGUAUAACGUUAUAUGACUCAACAGUUGCAUCCGAAAGGCAUGGCAGAAAUUUAACUUGAGUAACCUUUGCAUUGUUGCUUUCUGGUUGAUUGAGAAGGAGGGAGAGAGAAAGAGCAGAUUUCAAUGAGCGGAGAUUUGUUUGUCAGAGUAGCGAUAAUUACUGAUGCUAAUGUGCUCCACUAGUCAGUAUAAAGUCUCUGCAUGAUAGUCUAACACAGCGAAGAAUGUCAGACAGACAUAGAUACUUCUCCAAACAUUUGCAUAUAUACACAGUAGCUGUACAUAGUUAAAUGAAGCUCAAACCCCUCUAGUUCUAUGCAUGAAUAUCUGAAUAUCUUGCUGUGCUGCUCACUAAUGUGUGCGUUUCUAUAACAUUGCUGCUUUGCAACAUAAUACCACCAAUAUAUACACUCCAAGAUGACAAACAUUUGUUCAGUUGACUGUAUUAUCUGCAGUAUAACUGUGAGAAGUAAAGUAAAGCCUGUGUAUAAUAACUUUUCCUUUUUUAUUUUUGAGAGGAAGGUGAGCUUGUGAGGUUGUCCUGACUAUUAAAUAAUUCCAAAGGUCAGUAUUUGAGGCUCAAACACUACAUUACAUCACUCUUUUCUCUUUCAUGCUGACUACUUUACUUUUUCUUUUCAUUAAAUAGAUCAUUUUGUUGUUUUGUUUGUCUAUAUGUGUGUGUGAUUGAGAGAAAGAGAUGUCAUUCCCUUAUUUUAACGAAUGUGAAUGGAAUAUUGGAUUAUUUGAUGCUUUUGGAAAUAACACUAGUUGCAUGUUACCUUGCAAAAAUGUUCCAUUUGCUGGACAAUAACAGGAUACUUCUAGGACAAUUAUUGCAUUUGAUGUUUUUGUAGUUAUUUAUAAGUUAUUUAUUAAAAUGCCAUCGGAAGUCUGCUGGGUAAUGGCCGAAUUGUCAUGAACAUGGUAAUAUGGUUCUUUUUAAAUUUUCCUAGAAAUGUAAGAAUCUAAAAACAUCAAACAUUGGCAGAGAUUUAUUUAAGCAUAUUAGGGCUAAUUGCAGUAUGUAAAGACAGAUUUCUGUUCAUUACCAUUGUAAACUAAAGAAAAUUCAGAUGAUUUCAGAUAUGAAUGUACAGCAGUUUCACAGCUAACUGGUUAACUUGUAAUAUUCAUUGAAAUGUCAUGUACCCAGCUGAAAUCUCAAACCUUGCAUGUGGAGCUAUUGAACACUGAACUGGCUGUGAAAGUCAUGGGUUAAGAAAAUAAUUACUUGGGUGGCAUAAAACUUAUUUUGUUUAUUUUGAUCAAAUGUUUGUCUUUAUUAAUAACUUCUGUUUUAGUAACGCUCUAGUGGAUUGAGGUGUGUAGAGUGUGUUUGGGCUUGGUAGAUCUCUUAGCACUGUACAUUUGCAUUAAACUGAAGUUCCUCUGCAUCCUGUUUGCUUUUCAUUACAAAAAUAAAAUGAGAGGAAAACACCGUUUGAAA